rnacentral:rRNA from 1 species
UACGGGGGGGGCAAGCGUUGUUCGGAAUUACUGGGCGUAAAGGGCUCGUAGGUGGCCAACUAAGUCAGACGUGAAAUCCCUCAGCUUAACUGGGGAAGUGCGCCCGAAACUGCAGAGCUUGAGUGCCGGAGAGGGUGGCGGAAUUCCCCAAGUAGAGGUGAAAUUCGUAGAUAUGGGGAGGAACACCGGUGGCGAAGGCGGCCACCUGGACGGUAACUGACGCUGAGACGCGAAAGCGUGGGGAGCAAACAGG